rnacentral:pre_miRNA from 1 species
GGGCAGGGGCAGGGGGCGGAAUGACCCCUAAUGCCCAGCAGCCCCC